GUUGGGGUCCCGAGUGUGGUAGAUUCAGACCACACUUCCCAUCCCAGAGCUUCUUCUCUCUGAAAUUCAGACCCUGUGGCUCUAAAUCAGGGGCACAGAACUGAAUCAAAGUUUGCAGACUUAACUGGCUGCAGCUAUUUUCCAUUAAGUGCAAGGAACUAUGCAAAGCUCUUUCCAGACAGUGCCUCAUUUCAUCCUUCCAACAAUGCUACGAGGGGAAGUCUAGUAUUUCCUCGAUGGUACUACAGACCUGUAGUACAAGGUUUGAAAUACAAAAAGUUGAGGAAAGAUACAAUUCACUCAGACUGCAGGAACUGGCUCAGGAUGAGCUCUGGCACCCUGUGCAAUGCUGACGUCCUGAAUUUAGCCCUGAGGCUCUUGCAUCUGGCCUGUGCCCCAGUGCACAGUCACCGCGGAGCAGCACUCUCUCAGCAAAGGCCCUACUGUGUGCCUUUGUGGGGGUGAAUUUAAACGCAUGAGGAGAAGGGCCUAUUACAGGAUGGAAAAUAUAGCUUAGGAACCUUUCCACUGCGGUACACGUGGGCAUUCUUGCAGACGCUAUAUAGAUAUAGCAAUAAACAUUUAUUGAGCACCUGCGGUGUGCACUGCACUUUGCUAGAUGCCCAAGGGUUAUUCUUUUAUUUUUUUCUGCUUCCCUUUUAGAAGAGAUAUCCUACCAACUGACUAAAGCCCCUUAGAGCCAUCUCGUGCACACACAAAGCCCUCAGGAUUAACGUGGCUGAUUCUAGCUGUGCUGGUGACUGAUUGCCGUAAUCUUCCGAGAGGCUCGCGGGAGCUCUCUCAUGAGCGCCUGCUGUUGGCAGAGGUGAAAAUGUUUUUCCUCUUAGGAUUCUCCGCUUCUCUUGGAUUUCUCAUAGAGACGGGAAAACCCGGGGUUUACAGGGUAAACCCUCUCCUCUUUACCCAGGGCAUCUGCCCUGCUCCCCAUCACCUGAGCUGUCCCCAUAAACAUGUGAACCACACGAUAAGCACACGGGGUCACAGCACAUGGGCCAUUUCACCGCCGUGUGGCCGACAGCAGGGCUUGGGAGGAGGGCGCGAGGUCUGCUGGAGGAUCUGCUAUUUUCUCUGCCUGGCUCACAUCAACGGUUUACAGCUGGGGUAUGUUUCUGAGCUCCUGGCAGCAUUUCCUCUACAUCUGGGGUCAAAUGUUAACAGAGACUCCAUGAAAACAAACCAUAACCCUGGGUUUAGCCUGCCAUGCUUCAUUUCAGAGAACCCAGGGUC